GGGAAAUUUUUUAAAAAUUUAUUUCUCCUCCUGUCUUUCCUUCUCUACACCCCAAUUUAGGGAGGAGGAAAAAUAAAACAUUUUUGUGAGAAAUUUCCCCUUCCCAAAUGGAGUUAAAAAGUGUCUAGUUUCCUUCCCCUACCUUCGCAUACCCCAUCCGAACACACUGUUGACAAAAUUACUACAAUGUAUAUUGCUCCCAAAGAUUGAUAAAAAUUUUCGGACUGUCAAAGAUUUAAGAGAUUUGAGAAGAAGGGUAUAGAUGAAAGAACUAUACCUGGAUAUCUUUGUCAUGCUGCAUCUCUAUCUUCUCCCCUUCAAUCCUCCUCCUCCUGCAUUCAACUCCAAUGAAAGCCCUUCAGCGAUCUCCCCAUAAUCCCCAAAUUUAAACCUCUCUAAAACCCUGAGACUCUUGAUGUUGCUCAAUGUUUCCUGCUGAGAGGAAGAUGUUCGUCUUUGCCCUUGAGGUGUUCGAUGAAAUGGCUCUAAACAACAUAGAGGGAGAAAUUCCUACAACUUUAGGCAACUUGAGUAGCCUUCUUCUUGAUCUUAGCACGAACAAGCUAGUUGGACGAUACCACAUGAUAUUGCUAAGCUAGAGAAGCUUCAGCUUAUGUACCAGGGUAGUAAUAAAAUCGGUGGACCACGACCAUCAAAGUUAGUUCAGUUAAAGGCUUAGGUGCACUGUUCUUUGAUACAAACAAAGUCAUUGGACCUACACCGGAUUCUAUAGGUAACAUCAGCCUGCUGCAACACUUGUCUCUUGUCUUCCAACCACUUAUCAUCAACAUUCCCAUGAGGUUGUUGAACCUAAAAAAAUCUAAUUGAACUGAAUCUUCGCAAAAUAGCCUUCAUGGAUUACUUCGUCCCCAAUUGGGUAACUAGAAGGCCCUCGACAUUUUCAAUCAAUCAGUGAGUAAGUUGUCAGGUGAGGUGACAUAUCUAGUGCUCUUGGCCAGCUUGCGAUUCAAAUGGUGUAACUUCAAAUUCAAUGAAAAAGCUGCUCCUGCUCAAAUAUAUCCUCCCAAUUGUUGCUUCUGUUGUGAUUGUCCUGGUUAGCCUGUCCUUUGUGCCCAUGUUCUUUCGCAGGAGGACAGUGACAGACAUAGGUCACGAUGAGUUUCCAGCUUUAGAUACUCACAGAAUGGUUUCAUAGCAUGACCUUGUUCAUGCAACCGACAAUUACAAUCAAUUCAAUCUAUUAGCAAAGGGAAGCUUGAUUCACUUAAAGAGGAUGUCUUGAUGGUGGAUUGGUUGUAGCAGUGAAAGUUCUUAACUUGGAAGUUGAGGGAACUCCAAACUCUUUUGGAUCGAAAUAUCAAUCUUUGAGCAAAGUCCGGCAUAGGAAUCUAAUCAAAAUAAUGGCAACAUGUUCCAAACCAUACUUCAAAGCUCUCCUCCAGUUUCAUGCCCAAAGAGAACCUUGAUGAACGGUUGUAUUCUGAUACCUGCUAUCUCAGUCUUCAUCAAAGAUUAAGCAUAAUGGUGGAUGUAUCAUCUGCAGUCGAGUAUCUCCGCCAUCACCAUCCUCAUUAUGUGCUCCAUUGUGAUCUGAAGCCAAGCAAUGUUUUGUUGGAUGAAGAAAUGACAGCACAUCUUCUUUGGCAUCUCAAAAUUGCUGCUUGGUGAUAAGUCAUUAGUAUUGGCCAGCACGGCAGGCACCAUAGACUAAAUUAUAAGUUCUUUACAGUAUGUUUGCUAUGGUUUCUCACAUGUUAUAGGCUUAACUGAGUAAUUGAAAAUAAUAUUUGUAACAAAAUAUGGCUCUAUGGCAACAGUCUCAAGAAUGGGCGAUGUGUACAGCGUUGGAAUCCUUUUGUUUGAAAUGAUCACUAGAAAAAACCCAACUGACACAAUAUUUGGUCGAGAAUCAAGUUUGAGAGAGUGCGUAAGCAAAGCAUAUUCUUCUUCUUUGUUGGGUAUUGUGGAUCACAGUAUUUUAAAAGAGGGUUCUAGUGCUGAGCAAUUGUCAGAAGAUUUAUCUCCCUUGCACCGGUGCUUGUCUUCUAUUAUUGGGUUGGGUUUGGUUUGUUCGCUGUACUCACCUAUGGAAGGAAUUGCAAUGACGCUUGUGGUUCCCAAACUGCAGGAUAUUAAACAGGUGUAUGUGUCUCAAAUCUCUGUUCUUGAGCAGUAUCAGUGUCUUAGCUUGUGAAACUUGUUCAUCCUUUGGUUGAGAGCAUGUUUCUUUCCCUGUUGUAAUCAUCCAAGUUUACUUAAUCAUCGUCUUUGAAUGCUGCUAUCAUCCAAGUUUACCUAAAAUUGUUCAACAUGCACAUUGGACAUUUAGUAACCAAUUUGGAUGGUUGAAGACUUGAAGCUGAGAAAGUUUGAAUGAAAUAAGAUAAACACAAGCAUGAGAGACUACAGGAAACUCAACUCGCUAAAUUAGAGUAGCACAUAUUCUGCUGCUCCAACCAGGAUUGGUGUCAUCUGUAUUUGGUUUCUUCAUAUGCUGCAGUUCCAACUAGUGAUCUCAUACAGUGUUAGAGGAUCUUGGUAUGUCAUGAUCUCUUGGUUUCUUUUUUUUUAUGUUAUCCUCUUGUU